UGGUGAACCAGCGGAGGGAUCAUUACCGAAGUUACCUUCAAAACCCACUGUGAACCUUACCUCUUGCCGCGUUGUCUCGGCGGGAGGCGGUGUGCGUCGCGCGCCCUAGCGGGCCGCGCCGCUCCCGUCCCCGCCGGCAGCGCCAAACUCUAAAUGCACAGCGGACUGUACGUUCUGAUUUACAAAAAAAACAAGUUAAAACUUUCAACAACGGAUCUCUUGGUUCUGG
rnacentral:misc_RNA from 1 species